GAUGAACGCUAGCUACAGGCUUAACACAUGCAAGUCGAGGGGCAGCAUGAGCUUAGCUUGCUAAGUUUGAUGGCGACCGGCGCACGGGUGAGUAACGCGUAUCCAACCUUCCGUUUACUCAGGGAUAGCCUUUCGAAAGAAAGAUUAAUACCUGAUGGUAUGGUAAGAUUGCAUGGUAAUACCAUUAAAGAUUCAUCGGUAAACGAUGGGGAUGCGUUCCAUUAGGUAGUAGGCGGGGUAACGGCCCACCUAGCCGUCGAUGGAUAGGGGUUCUGAGAGGAAGCUCCCCCACAUUGGAACUGAGACACGGUCCAAACUCCUACGGGAGGCAGCAGUGAGGAAUAUUGGUCAAUGGGCGAGAGCCCGAACCAGCCAAGUAGCGUGAAGGAUGAAGGUUCUAUGGAUUGUAAACUUCUUUUAUACGGGAAUAAAACAUCCUACGUGUAGGAUUUUGUAUGUACCGUAUGAAUAAGCAUCGGCUAACUCCGUGCCAGCCGCCGCAGUAAAAC
rnacentral:rRNA from 1 species